AAUAGAUACCCGGGUAGUCCACGCCGUAAACGAUGGAUGCUAGCUGUUAUGCGUAUCGACCCGUGUAGUAGCGAAGCUAACGCGUUAAGCAUCCCGCCUGGGGAGUACGAACGCAAGUUUAAAACUCAAAGGAAUUGACGGGGACCCGCACAAGCGGUGGAGCGUGUUCUUUAAUUCGAGGCUAAGCGAAGAACCUUACCAGGGCUUGACAUCCUUGGAAUUUCUCCGAAAGGAGAGAGUACUUUAUUGGACCAAGUGACAGGUGCUGCAUGGCCGUCGUCAGCUCGUGUCGUGAGAUGUUUGGUUAAGUCCAUUAACGAGCGCAACCCUUAUGAAUAGUUGUAUUUUUCUAUUCAGACUGCCCCGGUAACGGGGAGGAAGGGGGGGAUGAUGUCAGGUCAGUAUUGCCCUUACGCCCUGGGCUAGAAACGCGCUACAAUGGCCGGUACAAUGCGCUGCCAACCCGCGAGGGGGAGCAAAUCGCAUCAAAGCCGGUCCCAGUUCGGAUAAGAGGCUGAAACUCGCCUCUUGAAGCCGGAAUCGCUAGUAAUCGU
rnacentral:rRNA from 1 species